GAGAAGAACGCAGCGAAAUGCGAUAAGUAAUGUGAAUUGCAGAAUUCAGUGAAUCAUCGAAUCUUUGAACGCACAUUGCGCCCGCCAGUAUUCUGGCGGGCAUGCCUGUCCGAGCGUCAUUUCAACCCUCGAACCCCUCCGGGGGGUCGGCGUUGGGGACCUCGGGAGCCCCUAAGACGGGAUCCCGGCCCCGAAAUACAGUGGCGGUCUCGCCGCAGCCUCUCCUGCGCAGUAGUUUGCACAACUCGCACCGGGAGCGCGGCGCGUCCACGUCCGUAAAACACCCAACUUCUGAAAUGUUGACCUCGGAUCAGGUAGGAAUACCCGCUGAACUUAAGCAUAUCAAUAAGCGGAGGA
rnacentral:misc_RNA from 1 species